rnacentral:tRNA from 1 species
GGGAUAUAGCUCAGCUGGGAGAGCGCUGCGUUCGCAACGCAGAGGCCGUGGGUUCGAAUCCCAUUAUCUCC